rnacentral:rRNA from 1 species
GACGAACGCUGGCGGCGUGGAUUAGGCAUGCAAGUCGGACGGUAGGGCUUUAUCGUAAGAUAGAGUUUGAGAGUGGCGAACGGGUGAGUAACACGUAGGAAUCUACCCUUAAGACGGGGACAACCCAGGGAAACUUGGGCUAAUACCGGAUGAGAGUGCGAGAGAUUGCAUUUAAAAGGAUGGCGAAAGUUGUCGCUUAGGGAUGAGCCUGCGGUCUAUUAGUUAGUUGGUGAGGUAAGAGCUCACCAAGGCGAUGAUAGAUAGGCGGCCUUAACGGGUGGUCGCCCACACUGGGAUUGAGAUACGGCCCAGACUCCUACGGGAGGCAGCAGUCGAGAAUAGUCUACAAUGGCCGGAAGGCUGAUAGUGCGACGCCGCGUGAACGAGGGAGCCCUUCGGGUGUAAAGUUCUUUUCUAUACGAGCAGCGCUAUAUAUAUGGAUAGUAUAUAUAGAGGGAUAGUAGUAUAGGAAUAAGCAACGGCUAACUCCGUGCCAGCAGCCG